AAAUAAUUAGACACUAAAUUAUUUAGUCUCUUAUUUCCAUCGGUAUAAGAGUAUCAGAGCCUAUAAUUUUUUUUCAAAUGUUCAGCGUUUCAAAAUCUUUUCAAAUCACUAACUUUAGAAUUAUUUUUUCCGAAUUCAAUCCUAAAUCCAAACACCUAGUACAAUAUUUUUUUUUGCCGUACCUAUAAAUUCCACUAAAUGGAACCGAACUUAGCACUUAGAACAAAAAUGAUUCACAUACAUAAUCUCUUAUUUAAUAGAGUUUUUUGGGAAAUUGCAAAAAAUCAAAGGUUACAUUAUGAAUUCAUCAGACAUACUUGAUCCCUUUGAGAAUACUUUGAUUUUAUUCUUCAACUGAAGUAUUUUUUUCAUUGUUCAAAGGAGACGUAUGUCGCGUCAUGCGCCGAUAAAGCUUCGGAAGGGCGCACAAUCAUGAGUAUCAUGGGGAAGCUGGUGACCCUUCCUCACCAUCCAAAGCAAGGACGACCAUAAGAGAGAGAAAAACCUUUCAAGGACCUUCUGAUAACUGAAGUUAUGAUUGCAGCUGCUACAAACCGGUGCUGGCCGAAGGCAGAAUUGAAGCAGGUCUAGUUGAAAGCGGCUACGUGGCUUGCACAAGCCCAAUCCAAGUUGGACAAAAUGAAUCAGCCAUCAACACCAGCUACAAUAACAAUAUUCGACAUCGAUUGUGAAGAUGAACCUCUCGAAUAGAUAAGAAUAUAAUAGUAGUGACAGAAAAGAUCAUAAAACGUGUCUACAUGUUCAAUUUACUGAUAUCAUAAACAAUAAAUUAGUAAUUGAUUAUAA
rnacentral:lncRNA from 1 species